AGCUGCGCCCCAGCCAGCCAAUCAGCGGCUACAUCCGGAGCCCCGCCUCGGGCUCGGCGUGGGUGGGGCAAACGCUGGGCUCCAGCCGCGGAGGUCCCAGGAGCGGGGCUUAUUAGGGGCGAUACUACAAGUAUGCAGUGCAAGGUUAUUAUGAAGAUUGAGUAAUAUACAUAAAGCCCUCAGGAAAAGAAGCACUUUAUAGUGAGUAUACCGUGAGAAGGCAGCCGUCUGUGAACCAGAACAAGGGCCCUCACCAAGAAGUAACCAUGCUGGCACCCUGAUCUUGGACUUCUGGCAUCUGGAACGGUGAGAAGUAAAUAUUUGUUAAAUAUAUACACCUACUAUGCACCCACAAAACUUAAGAAUAAAAAAUUUUAAAAACUUUGUUGUUUAAGCCACCUAAUGUACGGUAUCUUGUUAUAGUAGCUUGAACUAAGAUAAUGAGCAUACUAUUUUGUUAUAUAGUUUUCAUUAUAUUUCAUUUUAGAAAUAUAUUAUGGGGCUGGGCACGGUGGCUCACACCUGUAGUCCCAGCACU